CACCGGCGGCCCGAGUGGUAACCGUUUUUAUUGGGUCUAAAGGGUCUGUAGCCGGCCAAGUAAGUCCUUUGGGAAAUCUGGUAGCUCAACUAUCAGGCUGCCAGGGGAUACUGCUUGGCUUGGGACCGGGAGAGGUGAGAGGUACCUCGGGGGUAGGGGUGAAAUCUUGUGAUCCUCGAGGGACCACCAGUGGCGAAGGCGUCUCACCAGAACGGGUCCGACGGUAAGGGACGAAAGCUAGGGGCACGAACCGGAUUAGAUACCCGGGUAGUCCUAGCCGUAAACGAUGCUCGCUAGGUGUCAGUCACGGUGCGACCGCGAUUGGUGCCGUAGGGAAGCCGUGAAGCGAGCCACCUGGGAAGUAUGGCCGCAAGGCUGGAACUUAAAGGAAUUGGCGGGGAGCACUACAACGGGUGGAGCCUGCGGUUC
rnacentral:rRNA from 1 species